GUAGGGUGCAAGCGUUAAUCGGAAUUACUGGGCGUAAAGCGUGCGCAGGCGGUUUUGUAAGUCUGUCGUGAAAGCCCCGGGGGCUUAACCUGGGGAAUUGCGAUGGAGACUGCAAGGCUUGAAUCUGGCAGAGGGGGGUAGAAUUCCACGUGUAGCAGUGAAAUGCGUAGAGAUGUGGAGGAACACCGAUGGCGAAGGCAGCCCCCUGGGUCAAGAUUGACGCUCAUGCACGAAAGCGUGGGGAGCAAACAGGAUUAGAUACCCUGGUAGUCCACGCCCUAAACGAUGUCUACUAGUUGUCGGGUCUUAAUUGACUUGGUAACGCAGCUAACGCGUGAAGUAGACCGCCUGGGGAGUACGGUCGCAAGAUUA
rnacentral:rRNA from 1 species